UACGUAGGGGGCGAGCGUUGUCCGGAUUUACUGGGCGUAAAACGCUUGUAGGCGGCCACGCCAAGUCGGAUGUGAAAUCUCCCGGCUUAACUGGGAGGGGUCAUUCGAUACUGGCGGGCUCGAGGCAGGUAGGGGGAAGCGGAAUUCCCGGUGUAGUGGUGGAAUGCGUAGAUAUCGGGAGGAACACCAGUGGCGAAGGCGGCUUCCUGGACCUGUUCUGACGCUGAGGAGCGAAAGCGUGGGGAGCGAUCCGG
rnacentral:rRNA from 1 species